GACGAACGCUGGCGGCGUGCUUAACACAUGCAAGUCGAACGGAAAGGCCCUGCUUGCAGGGUGCUCGAGUGGCGAACGGGUGAGUAACACGUGGGUGAUCUGCCCCUUACUUUGGGAUAAGCCUGGGAAACUGGGUCUAAUACUGGAUAGGACCAUGCUGUAGGUGGUGUGGUGGAAAGAUUAGUUUCGGUAAGGGAUGAGCUCGCGGCCUAUCAGCUUGUUGGUGGGGUAAUGGCCUACCAAGGCGUCGACGGGUAGCCGGCCUGAGAGGGUGGACGGCCACAUUGGGACUGAGAUACGGCCCAGACUCCUACGGGAGGCAGCAGUGGUGAAUAUUGCACAAUGGGCGCAAGCCUGAUGCAGCGACGCCGCGUGGGGGAUGACGGCCUUCGGGUUGUAAACUCCUUUCAGCCAUGACGAAGCCCUUGUGGUGACGGUAGUGGUAGAAGAAGCACCGGCUAACUACGUG
rnacentral:rRNA from 1 species